CCUACGGGUGGCAGCAGUGAGGAAUAUUGGUCAAUGGACGCAAGUCUGAACCAGCCAUGCCGCGUGCAGGAUGAAGGCUCUAUGAGUUGUAAACUGCUUUUGUACGAGGGUAAUAUCAGAUACGUGUUUCUGCUUGAAAGUAUCGUACGUACAAGGAUAGGAUAACUCCGUGCCAGCAGCCGCGGUAAUACGGAGGAACCAAGCAUUAUCCGGAUUUAUUGGGUUUAAAGGGUGCGUAGGCGGUUUUAUAAGUUAGAGGUGAAAAUUCGGGGCUAAACUCGGGACGUGCCUCUAAUACUGUCUGACUAGAGAAUAGGUGCGGUAGGCGGAAUGUAUGGUGUAGCGGUGAAAUGCGUAGAGAUCAGACAGAACACCAAUUGCGAAGGCAGCUUACCAAACUAUAUCUGACGUUGAGGCACGAAAGCGUGGGGAGCAAACAGGAUUAGAUACCCGGGUAGUC
rnacentral:rRNA from 1 species